GAUGAACGCUAGCUACAGGCUUAACACAUGCAAGUCGAGGGGUAACGAGAGGGAAGCUUGCUUUCCUUGUCGACGACCGGCGCACGGGUGAGUAACGCGUAUCCAACCUGCCCCCAACUAGGGAAUAACCUUGCGAAAGUAAGACUAAUACCCUAUAAUUUCCUCAGAUGUCAUCUGACGAGGAGUAAAGAUUUAUCGGUUGUGGAUGGGGAUGCGUCUGAUUAGCUUGUUGGCGGGGUAACGGCCCACCAAGGCAACGAUCAGUAGGGGUUCUGAGAGGAAGGUCCCCCAAAUUGGAACUGAGACACGGUCCAAACUCCUACGGGAGGCAGCAGUGAGGAAUAUUGGUCAAUGGGCGGAAGCCUGAACCAGCCAAGUAGCGUGCGGGAUGACGGCCCUAUAGGUUGUAAACUGCUUUUAUACAGGAAUAAAGUUAGCCACGUGUGGUUAUUUGUAGGUACUGUAUGAAUAAGGACCGGCUAAUUCCGUGCCAGCCGCCGCAGUAA
rnacentral:rRNA from 1 species